UGCUACUGACUAUUUCCCUCCUCCAAAAUAAUGAAAACCAUGACAGAUAGGUUUGCCAUUUCGAGGGAAUAUAUUGCAUAAGGUAUCCUUGACCAUAUAUUAUUAUUUCAUCUUUGAUCAAAGGCGUGUUAACAUAGCGACACUGUUACACACUUCAGAGAAACACAUAGUUGGUGGGUCCGCUUUACGCACAGGCCUCAAUGCAACCGCACUGCCUGCACUGACUAUAGUUAUUUAUAGCAUGUGGUACCAUGAUGAUGUGAAUGCAAAGCAAGCGGAAGUGAGCAGGGGAAGGGCGUAAUGACUAGAAAGACUAAUAGAAAAAAAACACAAAUAUCCGACGAGGCAAAAUCGUAGACGUCGUGACUUCUGAGAUGUCGCAUAUGUUUAUUUAAUUAAAUUGCUUAGAUUCAGCACUUCGUUUUCAGGUAAGGCGCUCUUUACAUCUACAUAGGGAAUGAUAAUAAUAAAAAUACAUUUUAUUUGUAUAGCACCUUUCAUACAAAACAAUGCAGCUCAAAGUGCUUAGCAGCAAAGAAAUUACGUGGAGAGAAAUGACAUGCACAGUGAUCCACAUAAAAAUAGACAUAAAAUAAACAUAAAACAUCAACAUACAAACUGCGAUUAAGUGCAUAAACAUAAAUAAAGUUAACAUACAAACAUAAAGAUAUACAUAAAUUACAUAACAUAAGACAUAUAAUGAAUAAAACUGCGGAGAUAUAGUUUAUCUAUCCCCUUUAAAAUGAUAUAUCAUUAUAGCUAGUCAAAGGCUAAAGUGAAGAGAUACGUUUUUAGCUUUUUUUUUCUUUUUUUUUUAAAUAGCGAGCUAGCUUCCAUGAUAUCUAAAGGCAGUGUGUUCCAUAGCUUUGGGCCGUAAUUGACAAUCCCCGAUUUUCUUAUGGCUGUUGCUGGGAACCUCCAAUAAACCAGCAUUAGAUGAUCGCAAUGUUCUUGAGGGCAAGGGAGUUUGCAAUGUAACUUGGUCCUUUUUUAUUUAUAAAUCUACUUUAGCUAUCUAAGGUGGAAAACGAUGUUUUCGUCAUCUUGUUAAUGUGGGACUUGAAGAUUAGAUCUGAAUCAAAGAUAACACCAAGACUUGUAACCUGGUAGUGAGUUGAAGUGAGUCGAAGCUUGUAUUAACCACUUGAACAACUUCCCGCCUGAGUUCCCUAUCGAAGUGUAAUACAUUUAUGUUAUCGGAGGAGUUAAACAUAGCCUACACAAACACAGAAUACACUUUUACUGUUUAUUACAAGUUAUAGUCAAUACAUAAAACCCAACCACCCAUAUUUACACUACCCCAAACACAACUGAGCCUCUCUAUGGGCGACAUAAACUAGGGGAGGGGACUGGCCAUUAACCCCGGCCUGGGGCUAACUCAAACACGCGAUCACACAAUAGUCCACAGAAGGUUAGGGCUUCUCUUCCUAAAGUGCUGCCAAGCGUUCUCUCCCGCGCCCAGAUUCAGACUGUCUUUUACAUCCUACUCCAGGAACAAUCAUACAUCCUUAACAGGCAACAGGUGUCUCACCCACCUGCAGCCGGUCAUAAUUAAUCCAUUGGCGGGGCGUGCCCACUGCGGCCAGUAAACAGAGUUAAUUAGCCUACAGAAGGCUUGAAGCUUGAAGGAAAAGACGCCACUCGUGACUUUCGAAGCCACGUUUUAGAUUAGAUGAUUAGAUUAGAUUCAACUUUAUUGUCAUUGCACAGAGUGUAACUAUAAAAUAGGGGAUAUGUGAAUGGAAUGAAACGCAAAAGGACUGUAUUACUGGUAAAUGAAAUAGGUGACAAUCGCCACAGGUCUGUCCGGUUAGAACAAGAAUGAUGUCAAUGUCCCAAUGAUGACAGAUGUAAUGAAGUAUUUAUUGCACACACACUCUCAAGCCUUGAAUGGCGGGAUGGACAUGACUGCAUGAAGAUGAACGGUGAAUACGAUUAUCUGUGUAAAGGACUCGUAUUCACACAUGAAUCCGUGAACCGUGAAUGAUAGACAUGAUUCCGUGUUUGAACGAUGAUUGAGUUAUCCGUGGUUUCUAUGGAAUGACACAAUAGCGUGGCUGCGGCAUAGCUGGUGGCAUGGGAGGAAUGAUGCUUUUUCAAGUGCUUGUUCCACUGCUAUUGGUUGCCACAGCAUCAUCUUCAGAAGAUAAAGUGUUUGUCCUGAAAGGAGGGUCCAUCGUGUUGCAGGCGGAGCAAGUGACUAGGGUUUCCUCUAUCAUCUGGAAACACAACAAGGAGAAAGCUGCAGAAUGGUUUGAGGGCGAUGAUGCGCCAACCUAUUAUAACAUAUUUCAAUAUGUAGCUACACUGGAUGAGCAAACCUGGGCCUUGACCAUCUCAGACCUCCAUCCACGUUUUAAUGGGAAAUAUUCAGCUGAGGUGAACAACAAGGACCCAACUCAGUUUGUGACCUUAACUGUACUUGGUGAGUGCUACUGGAAACGAUUUUUGUUGAAAGAUGUUUUCAAUAGAACUAAGGUGCUUGUGUGAGGAAGACAGAAACAUGACAUUUACUCAUGUAUGUAUGUAUGUGUGUAUGGAUGGAUGUUCAAGAUCUGUGCAGAUUUCUGCAGACCACUAGUGUAAGUGAUAGUUCUUCCAAUCAAAAGUUGUCAGACUGCAUGGUAUUGUGGGUUUUGGGUGUUAAAAUGUGAAGACUCUACAGAUGCUGAUG